CUCUUCCCUAUCUGGAGAAUGGGGGUUGGGGCUGAAAUUUCCAAGCUUCUAAUCACGGCUUGGUCUUUCUGGAGAGCAGCCCUCAUCCGGGAGGCAUCCAGGAGCCCACCCAGAGAUGACUCAUUAGAACAAAAAAUACUCUU